UUCACUGCGUUGUUAAGAGAAUUAAAAAUAUAUUUUUUUUUAAUUAAAUUAACGCCAAUAAAGCAUUUUAAUAAUUUUUCUUAAUUACAUGAAUCAAAAAUUUUGUUAUACAAAUAUUAGUAAUUAUACGCAGUGAAGUUGCCGCGAAUGAAAUUGCAACGUCAGUAAGCACACUUCUCAUUCGAGAUUGUACAAAGUCUCCUAGCGUGUCUCAUUACGUCACAAGAAUUAAAAUAACUUGCUUGAAACUAAAUGAUCAAAGUUUCAUCACAACCAUAACAUCGUAUAAAAUGAUAUCGCCAUUGAAAUGCGUGGAAACCGGUAAAUCUAAUAUGUAAUAUAUACUUGAUAGUAUGACCUUUUGAACUUGGCAUCGAUAUAUGAACAGCACGAUAUAUAUUAGAUUCAAUGAAGAAUAUAAUCGCAUUAUUCCUAUAAUGAAAACAAAUCAUAAAUCACUGAAUAAGAAGAGAAAACUGCAAUUGAAGAGUAUCAAGAAAAGGAAAAGGAAUGAGAUCCGCUGGGGAUCGAGCCUCUUGGCCGAUGACCAGUUGAACCAAUAGUAAGACGUCUCGGAACCAACGCCUACCAAUUCAACCAAUCGCAGAUUAACUUUUCCGAAGGCGCGUCAUAUGCGCGUAUCCGCUUUUUCUGAUCAUUGAGAACCAAACAUCAUUGACUUUUGAUGGAAUGACGCAUGAAUAAAUUUUAUAAUCUUA